GACGAACGCUGGCGGCGUGCUUAACACAUGCAAGUCGAGCGGUAAGGCCCUUUCGGGGGUACGACGAGCGGCGAACGGGUGAGUAACACGUGGGUGACCUGCCCUUAGCUCUGGGAUAAGCCUGGGAAACUGGGUCGUAAUACCGGAUAUGACCUCAUGACGCAUGUUGUGGGGUGGAAAGCCUUGUGCGGCUAGGGAUGGACCCGCGGCCUAUCAGCUUGUUGGUGGGGGUAAUGGCCUACCAAGGCGACGACGGGGUAGCCGGCCUGAGAGGGCGACCGGCCACACUGGGACUGAGACACGGCCCACGACUCCCACGGGAGGCAGCAGUGGGGAAUUUGCGCAAUGGGCGAAAGCCUGACGCAGCGACGCCGCGUGAGGGAUGACGCCU
rnacentral:rRNA from 1 species